AUAAAUACUCAAAAAGACGAUCGACUAACAAAGAAGAAGCAUCUUGUAACUGACGAGAUAAUAUAGCUGACAUUACUUCUGGUUUUUCCAAUUUCUUUUGUUUCCUUCGAAUUCUUUUUC
rnacentral:ribozyme from 14 species